AGGCGGUUGGAUGACCGCGGGCCCGUAAAGCUUCUUUAUGGGAAUGAGGAAAGUCCGAGCACCGCAGGGCAGGGAUGCCAGUUAACGGCUGGUGGAGGCGACUCCAAGGCAAGUGCAACAGAGAGAUACCGCCAAAGCGAUUUGGUAAGGGUGGAAAGGUGCGGUAAGAGCGCACCGGCGGCCUGGCGACUCGUCCGUCAUGUAAACCCCAUCCGGUGCAAGAUGAGGAGGCACAAGGGCUGCCCGUCCGCCUCCGCAGUAUCGCUUGAGCGCUUCGGCGACGAUGCGCCUAGAUAGAUGGUCAUCAAAACAGAACUCGGCUUACAGACCGCGC
rnacentral:RNase_P_RNA from 1 species